rnacentral:lncRNA from 1 species
AUGGCUUGAUGCAGUUAGAUAUAUGUAUAUACUUACAUUCUAUGGUGUUUUAUUUGGUAAAAACACACAAAAUUAAGUUUACCAUAAUAACUAUUUAAAUGUACAUUUCAGUAAUGUUAAGUGUAUCCGCAUUGUUGUACAACAAAGAUUCUCUAAAUCUUUUUAUCUUGCAAAAUUGAAACUGUAUACCCACUGAGCAUGAAUUCCUCCUCCCCAGGGGAAAAUUUUCAUUUUAAUUCAUCCUUAUAAUGAAGCAUUCAGAAUACAUAAAGAACUCCUUAAAAUAAUCUCAAAAUCAGACUACUUCUAGAAAGAGUCAAGGAAUCAUUUAGUACUCUUAAGUGUACAAAUAAAAGAAAAACUAUCCAACUCAAAUCAACUAAUAAAUUAAUAAAAAGGAAUUUAGAGGCUCCUGCAAAUAAUAGUCUUCUAUCUGGGGCUCAAAUGAUGGAACCAGGACUAGCUUCUCUUGCAUUUCUGUUCUGUCUCUAGGUGUUAUUUCCCUUCCCAGGGUGGUGGGAGCAGCACCAGCCAACCCUUUCUUCCUGGGCCUUGUGAGGAGGCUCUUUCUUCCCGGCAAUCCAAACAGACAACUCCUCAGUCUAAUGCAGGAUUAUUUCUUGGAUGGCAUUACCAAUUCACUGAACAUGAACUUGGGCAAACUCCAGGAUUGGGGAGGCCUGGCAUACUGCAGCCCAUGGGUUUGCAAAGAGCUGGACAUGACUUCGUGACUGGACAACAACAAAAGGACUCAGAAAACCUCAGUGUGGCCACCAUCUGCCCAUCACCAUGCUGAAGUUGCUCCAGUGAACUUAGAGGCCAAACUAAGUGAAUUCUGGGUCUUGAGACACAUCAAAGCAGACCACUCCUCCUACUUGGGUGAGCCAGAAUUUUAAAUUUCAGUGUUUAACUUCCUCUCUCCUUUUUCUCCUUUACUUUUUAACUGUUGUUAUUGAAAAUAAUGCAACAUUUUAAAAUUGUACAUAAAAAUAAUUACCCUCAGGGAAUUCCCUGGUUGUCCAGUGGUUAGGACUCAGAACUUUCACUGACGAUGACCUGGGUUCGAUCCCUGGUCAGGGAACUAAUAU